AUUGAACGCUGGCGGAAUGCUUUACACAUGCAAGUCGAACGGCAGCACGGGAGCAAUCCUGGUGGCGAGUGGCGAACGGGUGAGUAAUAUAUCGGAACGUGCCCAGUCGUGGGGAUAACGUAGCGAAAGCUACGCUAAUACCGCAUACGAUCUACGGAUGAAAGCGGGGGAUCGCAAGACCUCGCGCGAUUGGAGCGGCCGAUAUCAGAUUAGGUAGUUGGUGAGGUAAAGGCUCACCAAGCCGACGAUCUGUAGCUGGUCUGAGAGGACGACCAGCCACACUGGGACUGAGACACGGCCCAGACUCCUACGGGAGGCAGGCAGUGGGGAAUUUUGGACAAUGGGNGCAAGCCUGAUCCAGCAAUGCCGCGUGCAGGAUGAAGG
rnacentral:rRNA from 1 species